AACGACGCUGGCGGCAGGCCUAACACAUGCAAGUCGAGCGCGCCCUUCGGGGUGAGCGGCGGACGGGUUAGUAACGCGUGGGAAUAUGCCCAAAGGUACGGAAUAGCCUCUGGAAACGGAGAGUAAUACCGUAUGUGCCCUUCGGGGGAAAGAUUUAUCGCCUUUGGAUUAGCCCGCGUUAGAUUAGGUAGUUGGUGGGGGUAAUGGCCUACCAAAGCCUACGAUCUAUAGCUGGUUUUUAGAGGAUGAUCAGCAACACUGGGACGUGAGACACGGCCCACGAACUCCUACGGGAGGGCAGCAGUGGGGAAGUACUUGGUACAAUGGGGGCGAACCCUCGAUCCAGCCAUGCCGCGUGAGUGA
rnacentral:rRNA from 1 species